AUUGAACGCUGGCGGCAGGCCUAACACAUGCAAGUCGAGCGAGCGGCGGACGGGUGAGUAAUGUCUGGGAAACUGCCUGAUGGAGGGGGAUCACUACUGGAAACGGUAGCUAAUACCGCAUACCAUCAGAUGUGCCCAGAUGGGUUUAGCUAGGGGGUGGGGUAAAGGCUAACCUAGGCGACGAUCCCUAGCUGGUCUGAGAGGAUGACCAGCCACACUGGAACUGAGACACGGUCCAGACUCCUACGGGAGGCAGCAGUGGGGAAUAUUGCACAAUGGGCGAAAGCCUGAUGCAGCCAUGCCGCGUGUGUGAAGAAGGCCUUCGGGUUGUAAAGCACUUUCAGCGAGGAGGCGUUACUCGCAGAAGAAGCACCGGCUAACUCCGUGCCAGCAGCCGCGGUAAUAC
rnacentral:rRNA from 1 species